CAACGCGACCCCAGGUCAGGCGGGGCUACCCGCUGAG
rnacentral:rRNA from 2 species